rnacentral:miRNA from 1 species
ACCCGUUGAUAUGGUCUUCAAC